UCAGGAUGAACGCUAGCGGCAGGCCUAACACAUGCAAGUCGAGGGGUAACAUUGUGCUUGCACAGAUGACGACCGGCGCACGGGUGCGUAACGCGUAUACAAUCUACCUUUUGCUGAGGGAUAGCCCAGAGAAAUUUGGAUUAAUACCUCAUAGUAUACACUAACCUCAUGGUUUAUGUAUUAAAGGUUACGGCAAAAGAUGAGUAUGCGUCCUAUUAGUUAGUUGGUAAGGUAACGGCUUACCAAGACAGCGAUAGGUAGGGGCCCUGAGAGGGGGAUCCCCCACACUGGUACUGAGACACGGACCAGACUCCUACGGGAGGCAGCAGUGAGGAAUAUUGGACAAUGGAGGCAACUCUGAUCCAGCCAUGCCGCGUGCAGGAUGACUGCCCUAUGGGUUGUAAACUGCUUUUAUACAGGAAGAAACAUCUCUACGUGUAGAGACUUGACGGUACUGUAAGAAUAAGGAUCGGCUAACUCCGUGCCAGCAGCCGCGGUAAUACGGAGGAUCCAAGCGUUAUCCGGAAUCAUUGGGUUUAAAGGGUCCGUAGGUGGAUAAUUAAGUCAGAGGUGAAAGUUUGCAGCUCAACUGUAAAAUUGCCUUUGAUACUGGUUAUCUUGAAUCAUUAUGAAGUGGUUAGAAUAUGUAGUGUAGCGGUGAAAUGCAUAGAUAUUACAUAGAAUACCAAUUGCGAAGGCAGAUCACUAAUAAUGUAUUGACACUGAUGGACGAAAGCGUGGGGAGCGAACAGGAUUAGAUACCCUGGUAGUCCACGCCGUAAACGAUGGAUACUAGCUGUUCGGAACUUGUUUCUGAGUGGCUAAGCGAAAGUGAUA
rnacentral:rRNA from 1 species